AUGAACGCUGGCGGCGUGCCUCAUACAUGCCAGUCGAGCGAACGGACGAGAAGCUUGCUUCUCUGAUGUUAGCGGCGGACGGGUGAGUAACACGUGGAUAACCUACCUAUAAGACUGGGAUAACUUCGGGAAACCGUAGCUAAUACCGGAUAAUAUUUUGAACCGCAUGGUUCAAAAGUGAAAGACGGUCUUGCUGUCACUUAUAGAUGGAUCCGCGCUGCAUUAGCUAGUUGGUAAGGUAACGGCUUACCAAGGCAACGAUGCAUAGCCGACCUGAGAGGGUGAUCGGCCACACUGGAACUGAGACACGGUCCAGACUCCUACGGGAGGCAGCAGUAGGGAAUCUUCCGCAAUGGGCGAAAGCCUGACGGAGCAACGCCGCGUGAGUGAUGAAGGUCUUCGGAUCGUAAAACUCUGUUAUUAGGGAAGAACAUAUGUGUAAGUAACUGUGCACAUCUUGACGGUACCUAAUCAGAAAGCCACGGCUAACUACGUG
rnacentral:rRNA from 1 species